GUUGUAUAGUCAAGUAAUUAAGUGCAUGUGGUGGAUGCCUUGGCAGUCAGAGGCGAUGAAAGACGUGAUAGCCUGCGAAAAGCUCCGGGGAGGCGGCAAAUAUCCUUUGAUCCGGAGAUGUCUGAAUGGGGGAACCCACCUACUUUAAGGUAGGUAUUGCAACAUGAAUACAUAGUGUUGCAAGGCGAACGAGGGGAAGUGAAACAUCUCAGUACCCUUAGGAAAAGAAAUCAAUUGAGAUUCCCUCAGUAGCGGCGAGCGAACGGGGAUCAGCCCAUUAAGUUAUGUGUGUUUUAGUGGAACGCUCUGGGAAGUGCGAACGUAGAGGGUGAUAUUCCCGUACACGAAAGGGCACACAUAAUGAUGACGAGUAGGGCGAGGCACGUGAAACCUUGUCUGAAUAUGGGGGGACCAUCCUCCAAGGCUAAAUACUCCUGACUGACCGAUAGUGAACCAGUACCGUGAGGGAAAGGCGAAAAGAACCCCUGUGAGGGGAGUGAAAUAGAUCCUGAAACCGCAUGCAUACAAGCAGUGGGAGCACCUUCGUGGUGUGACUGCGUACCUUUUGUAUAAUGGGUCAGCGACUUAUAUUCAGUAGCGAGGUUAACCGUAUAGGGGAGCCGUAGAGAAAUCGAGUCUUAAUAGGGCGUUUAGUUGCUGGGUAUAGACCCGAAACCAGGCGAUCUAUCCAUGAGCAGGUUGAAGGUUGGGUAACACUAACUGGAGGACCGAACCCACUGUCGUUGAAAAGCCAGGGGAUGACUUGUGGAUAGGGGUGAAAGGCUAAUCAAGCCUGGUGAUAGCUGGUUCUCCCCGAAAGCUAUUUAGGUAGCGCCUCGGACGAAUACCAUAGGGGGUAGAGCACUGUUUCGGCUAGGGGGUCAUCCCGACUUACCAAACCGAUGCAAACUCCGAAUACCUAUGAGUACUAUCCGGGAGACAGACUGCGGGUGCUAACGUCCGUAGUCAAGAGGAAAACAAUCCAGACCGCCAGCUAAGGCCCCAAAAUCAUAGUUAAGUGGGAAACGAUGUGGGAAGGCAUAGACAGCUAGGAGGUUGGCUUAGAAGCAGCCACCCUUUAAAGAAAGCGUAAUAGCUCACUAGUCGAGUCGGCCUGCGCGGAAGAUGUAACGGGGCUAAAACUAUGUGCCGAAGCUGCGGAUNUUGACAUUAGUCAAGUGGUAGGGGAGCGUUCUGUAAGCCGAUGAAGGUGUAUUGAGAAGUAUGCUGGAGGUAUCAGAAGUGCGAAUGCUGACGUGAGUAACGACAAAACGGGUGAAAAACCCGUUCGCCGAAAGACCAAGGGUUCCAGUCCAACGUUAA
rnacentral:rRNA from 1 species